AGUGAACGCUGGCGGUAGGCCUAACACAUGCAAGUCGAACGGCAGCACAGUAAGAGCUUGCUCUUACGGGUGGCGAGUGGCGGACGGGUGAGGAAUACAUCGGAAUCUACUUUUUCGUGGGGGAUAACGUAGGGAAACUUACGCUAAUACCGCAUACGACCUACGGGUGAAAGCAGGGGAUCUUCGGACCUUUCGCGAUUGAAUGAGCCGAUGUCGGAUUAGCUAGUUGGCGGGGUAAAGGCCCACCAAGGCGACGAUCCGUAGCUGGUCUGAGAGGAUGAUCCGCCACAGUGGCACUGAGACACGGUCAAGACUACGGGAGGCAGCAGUGGGGAAUAUUGGACAAUGGGCGCAAGCCUGAUCCAGCCAUACCGCAUGGGUGAAGAAGGCCUUCGGGUUGUAAAGCCCUUUUGUUGGGAAAGAAAAGCAGCAGGUUAAUACCCCGCUGUUCUGACGGUACCCAAAGAAUAAGCACCGGCUAACUUCGUG
rnacentral:rRNA from 1 species